rnacentral:rRNA from 1 species
AACAGGAUUAGAUACCCUGGUAGUCCACGCUGUAAACGAUGUCGACUUGGAGGUUGUGCCCUUGAGGCGUGGCUUCCGGAGCUAACGCGUUAAGUCGACCGCCUGGGGAGUACGGCCGCAAGGUUAAAACUCAAAUGAAUUGACGGGGGCCCGCACAAGCGGUGGAGCAUGUGGUUUAAUUCGAUGCAACGCGAAGAACCUUACCUACUCUUGACAUCCAGAGAAUUUGCUAGAGAUAGCUUAGUGCCUUCGGGAACUCUGAGACAGGUGCUGCAUGGCUGUCGUCAGCUCGUGUUGUGAAAUGUUGGGUUAAGUCCCGCAACGAGCGCAACCCUUAUCCUUUGUUGCCAGCACGUAAUGGUGGGAACUCAAAGGAGACUGCCGGUGAUAAACCGGAGGAAGGUGGGGAUGACGUCAAGUCUUCAUGGCCCUUACGAGUAGGGCUACACACGUGCUACAAUGGCAUAUACAAAGAGAAGCGAACUCGCGAGAGCAAGCGGACCUCAUAAAGUAUGUCGUAGUCCGGAUUGGAGUCUGCAACUCGACUCCAUGAAGUCGGAAUCGCUAGUAAUCGUAGAUCAGAAUGCUACGGUGAAUACGUUCCCGGGCCUUGUACACACCGCCCGUCACACCAUGGGAGUGGGUUGCAAAAGAAGUAGGUAGCUUAACCUUCGGGAGGGCGCUUACCACUUUGUGAUUCAUGACUGGGGUGAAGUCGUAACAAGGUAACC